rnacentral:rRNA from 1 species
UACAGAGGGGGCAAGCGUUAUUCGGAAUUAUUGGGCGUAAAGGGCGCGUAGGCGGCUUUUCAAGUGACGGGUGAAAUCCCUCGGCUUAACCGAGGAACUGCCUGUCAGACUGGAAGGCUUGAGACCGGGAGAGGCGAGUGGAAUUCCCAGUGUAGCGGUGAAAUGCGUAGAUAUUGGGAGGAACACCAGUGGCGAAGGCGGCUCACUGGACCGGAACUGACGCUGAGGCGCGAAAGCGUGGGGAGCAAACAGG